AUGGUUUACAUGUCUUGUGAUAUUUUUCUUUUUCUUGCAGAUCAUACAUAUAAUUUCCUGUGCGGCUCUCAGUAUCUCCAAGACCUAGGAUGCUCCUUGAGAGUGUAUUCCUGCUUAUGUAAACGAGAGCUUUCUAGAAGAGAUAAUGGUUAUGAACACUGGCCCUUAACCAAGAAACAGAAGUUGAAUGAACUGCGGGAAGAUAAACUUCACUUUGCUGUGAUUUCAGAACUGAUAUCAGCAGGCAGUUGUCUAAAAACUAUAUUUGUUUUCCUAAUCUGCUACUUUUCACGACAAUUAUAUUUGUUUCACAGCGACCAUCCUGGCGCAGCACAGGGAGCGGUGAACGAUGAGACCCGGCAUUUGGUCAUUCUCAGGUCCAGGUGA
rnacentral:lncRNA from 1 species